GACGAACGCUGGCGGCACGUUUUAAGCAUGCAAGUCGAAUGGCAGCAGGGGCAACUCUGUGAGAAUGGCGAACGGGUGAGUAACACGUAGGUGAUCUGCCUUGAGGAUGGGGAUAGCCUGUGGAAACACAGGGUAAUACCGAAUGAGCUGACGAGACUUUGGUUUUGUUAGUAAAGGUGCUACGGCACCGCCUUGAGAGGAGCCUGCGGCUGAUUAGCUAGUUGGUGGGGUAAGAGCUUACCAAGGCGACGAUCAGUAGCCGGCCUGGGAGGGUGUACGGCCACACUGGAACUGAGACACGCUCCAGACUCCUACGGGAGGCAGCAGCUAAGAAUCUUCCGCAAUGGGCGAAAGCCUGACGGAGCGAUGCCGCGUGAUCGAUGAAGGUCGAGAGAUUGUAAAGAUCUUUUCUACAUGAGGAAUAAGUCUGGGAGGGAAUGCCCGGAUGAUGACGUUAGUGUAGGAAUAAGCCCCGGCUAAUUACGUGCCAGCCGCCGCCGUAA
rnacentral:rRNA from 1 species